rnacentral:rRNA from 1 species
CUACCGGUGCCAUGCAGCCACAGUGAGCGGCUGCUGUUUGCGGCCUCCACGUCGGUAAGCCUGGGGGACGGCAGGACGGCCUCCUUCUGGAUGGACAGUUGGCUACAGGGCCAGGCACCCUACGUCGUCGCGCCGGAGAUCUUUCGCCUCUCCAGGCGAAAAAACCGCUCAGUGCGCCAGGCGCUGAUGGGGAACCGAUGGGUGGCUGACAUGUCCGGUAGAAUCACGACCGAGCUGCUUCCUUCUUUCGUUUCGCUCUGAGGACGGAUCAGCGAGAUGGACAUCUCUGAGACCGGUGAUGAUGUGUUCACCUGGAAGCUCGAGGCCUCAGGCAUCUACUCGGCGUCGUCGGCAUAUCGGCUGCAGUUUAUGGGGUCGACCUCGUCGCCUAUCAUGAAAUCCGUGUGGCGCGCCUGGGCGCCGUCGAAGAUCAAGCUCUUCUCAUGGCUCCUGUCCAUCAAACGGCUGCUCACGGCAGACCGACUCAUGGCCAGGGCGUGGCCAAACUCCUACUUCUGUCCACUUUGCUGGCGUAGCCUGGAAACGGCGGAUCACCUGUUCAGGGAGUGUCCGUGGUCGAUGCAACUGCGGGAGAUGGCGGCUGGCCGUUUCGGCAUCGCCUCUUUUCUUCCAAGUUCCUGGAGGCCUUUCCGGGCAACGGAGGAUUGGCUUGAAGACCUUAGCUCCGGCUCCUCUAGCCCUAGGCGAGCUCGAUCGAUCGCACUUCUCAUCGUCUGGUCGAUUUGGCUAGAGAGGAACGGCCGCAUCUUCAAGGAAGUCGAGCGGCCGAUAGGGAUGGUGUUCGAGUGGAUUACGGAUGAACUAGCAACCUGGGUUCAGGCGGGGGGACGACACCUGAUGCCGCGAGAGUAG